GAGCCAACGAACUAGAAAUUUCUGGAGGACCGGAUAGAGAGAGAGAGAGAGAGAGAGAGAGAGAGAGAGAGAGAGAGAUGGCUGCUUCUUUUACCAUCCACUCAUCUUCUUCUCUAGUUCCCACGACCAGAGCUUCGACGAUCUUCCAUUGAGGCCGCUACCAUUACCAGUUCCUCAUCUUCCACAGUCCCAACCAAGCCUCCAGAAAGCCCCUCUCUCUCAGGGUCCGAGCUGCCAAGCUUCCCUCUGGGGUGGAAGUGCCGAAAGUAGAGCCCAAGUUCCAGGCUCCAUUUCUCGGAUUCACAAGAACUGCCAAGGUUUGGAACUCCAGAGCUUGCAUGAUUGGCCUCAUCGGGACAUUCAUUGUCGAACUGAUAAUAAACAAAGGGAUUCUUCAGGUGAUUGGAGUGGAGGUGGGCAAGGGCCUUGAUCUUCCUCUCUAGAAAUUUCAGCUCCCCUCGUCGUAUUUGAAAUCUCCCUCUCUAGAUUUUCUUGUUGAAUAGCUUGCACAAUCGAUUCCAAAGGUUUUUUAAUUUGCUUGCAAAUGACACUAUUACCUUCCUCUUUUGACCAUCGAUAAGAUAAUACAGCAACAACUUAAAAAGAGUAUGAAUUUGAUCCUUCUGAAUGAAUAGCUAAUUUGUAUGUCUUCGAAACAGAGGUUGGUGCGGAUGUUUUAGAAUUGAUUUUUACUAAUCACUGCCAGGUUUCACUUGCUGAA